GAGCGAACGUUAGCGGCGCGCCUAACACAUGCAAGUCGCACGGAGUAGCAAUACUCAGUGGCGCACGGGUGCGUAACACGUAGAUAAUCUGCCCUUCGAAGGGGGAUAACGUUCCGAAAGGAGCGCUAAUACCGCAUACAGCUGCCUGGGGUUCGCUCCGGGCAGGCAAAGGCUGGGACCGCAAGGCCAGUCGUCGAAGGAGGAGUCUGCGGCCCAUCAGCUAGUUGGGGAGGUAAUGGCUCACCAAGGCAGAGACGGGUAGCUGGUCUGAGAGGAUGAUCAGCCACACUGGUACUGGAACACGGACCAGACUCCUACGGGAGGCAGCAGUGGGGAAUCUUGGUCAAUGGGCGCAAGCCUGAACCAGCGACGCCGCGUGAGUGAUGAAGGCCUUCGGGUUGUAAAGCUCUGUGGGGAGAGACGAAAGAGCGCAUUCGAAUAGGGUGCGUGUUGACGGUAUCUCCUUAGCAAGCACCGGCUAACUCUGUGCCAGCAGCCGCGGUAAGACAGAGGGUGCAAACGUUGCUCGGAAUCACUGGGCGUAAAGGGCGUGUAGGCGGGAAUGUAAGUCGGGCGUGAAAUCCCUAGGCUCAACCUAGGAACUGCACUCGAAACUGCGUUUCUUGAGUACUGGAGAGGAAAGCGGAAUACCUGGUGUAGAGGUGAAAUUCGUAGAUAUCAGGUGGAACACCGGUGGCGAAGGCGGCUUUCUGGACAGUAACUGACGCUGAGACGCGAAAGCGUGGGGAGCAAACAGGAUUAGAUACCCUGGUAGUCCACGCUGUAAACGAUGAGCGCUAGGUGUCGUGGGUAUUGACCCCCGCGGUGCCGAAGCUAACGCAUUAAGCGCUCCGCCUGGGAAGUACGGUC
rnacentral:rRNA from 1 species